rnacentral:rRNA from 1 species
GGGCGCAUUCCUGAUCCAGCCAUGCCGCGUGAGUGAUGAAGGCCCUAGGGUUGUAAAGCUCUUUUAUCCGGGACGAUAAUGACGGUACCGGAAGAAUAAGCCCCGGCUAACUUCGUGCCAGCAGCCGCGGGUAUACGAAGGGGGCUAGCGUUGCUCGGANUCACUGGGCGUAAAGGGCGCGUAGGCGGACGUUUAAGUCAGGGGUGAAAUCCCGGGGCUCAACCUCGGAAUUGCCUUUGAUACUGGAUGUCUCGAGACCGGAAGAGGUAAGUGGAACUGCGAGUGUAGAGGUGAAAUUCGUAGAUAUUCGCAAGAACACCAGUGGCGAAGGCGGCUUACUGGUCCGGAUCUGACNCUGAGGCGCNAAAGCNUGGGGAGCAA